UGGCAAUGCAUCAACUAGCAAGAGGUAGAUUUAAAAGCUGGAGGCACUGAACAAGUGACACUUCUUCAGAUCAUGUGCCACCCUCCCACAAACCUGUACUCUUAACUCCAUUUUAGCUUCUGCUUCCCAGAGAAGCCAACUGAAGCAAUCUGUGAAGAAUCUAAAGGAGUUGGGCUUUCCUCUAUUUGUUUGUUUUAAACAGUGAAAUGGAGGUUCUAUAGAGCAUGAUGAAAAGAUCUCUGAGGACCUCAAACCCAGAACGGGUUACCAGGAAGGCAGCACAUGGCAACACGGACUGAAACGAUUCAAUAGCACGGAGAAAUCACGCCUUACGUUUUGAGCAGCAGAGGAAGGCAGGAUUGAGAGGAGUCGCAGGUUUAAGUGGAUUCAGAACACCACGUGGGCACACACAAAACUCCUGGGACUGGGAAGGCCAUGGCAGCUGCUGCCCGCGUCAGAAAAGUUGGCCAGUUUCCAAACUUUUACACCCUGUGAAAGGUACUGGCUUCACUGAGGUCAGCGGGAUUUUAACUAAGAGUUAAAUCGGUUACAACUUGGCUACCUAAAUAAAUUUGAAAACAUUAAGACUUGU